UACAGAGACUGCGAGCGUUAUUCGGAUUCACUGGGCGUAAAGGGUGCGCAGGCGGCCAAGUGUGUCAGGUGUGAAAUCCCGAGGCUUAACCUCGGAACUGCGCCUGAAACUACUUGGCUAGAGUACUGGAGAGGGUAACGGAAUUCACGGUGUAGCAGUGAAAUGCGUAGAUAUCGUGAGGAACACCAGAGGCGAAGGCGGUUACCUGGACAGUUACUGACGCUCAGGCACGAAAGCGUGGGGAGCAAAAGGG
rnacentral:rRNA from 1 species